ACUGAUUCACAAAGGAGUGGGGUAUUCACUAAAAUAAAAACGCAGCCUUUUCCCAUCUCAGCAAGACCCAUUACGGAGGACCAGCAUCUGCUCGUCAUCUCCACUUUGGAUGAUCACACUGCCAUUCUAAUGGAAUCAGAAUGUUUAGGCUUUUCCCACACCCUUGUCCUGGUACAUUAAGAAAGAAGACAUGGAGACGGAGAAGAAAGAAACCGAGGACCCCCU
rnacentral:lncRNA from 1 species